rnacentral:rRNA from 1 species
AGUGAACGCUGGCGGUAGGCCUAACACAUGCAAGUCGAACGGCAGCACAGUACGUGCUUGCUCUCACGGGUGGCGCGUGGCGGACGCUUGCGGAAGACUUCGGAAUCUACUUUUUCGUGGGGGCUAACGUAGGGAAACUUACGCUAAUACCGCAUUCGACCUCCGAGUGUAAGCACGCGAUCUUCGGACCUUGCGCUAUUGAAUGGGCCUAUGUCGCCUUCGCUAGUUGGCGGGUUUGAGGCCCUCCAAGGCGACGAUCCGUAGCUGGUCUGGCCGGAUGUUCCGCUAGAUUGGAUCUGAGAAAGGGUCCAGACUCCGACGCGGGGAAGCAGUGGGGAAUAUUGGACAAUGGAGGAAAGCCUGAUCCAGCAAUACCGCGUGGGUGAAGAAGGCCUUAGGGUUGGAAAGCCAUUUUGUUGGGAGAGAAAAGCAGCAGGUUAAUACCCCGCGGUUAUGACGGUACCCAAAGAAUAAGCACCGGCUAACUUCGUG